AGCAGCCGCGGUAAUUCCAGCUCCAAUAGCGUAUAUUAAAGUUGUUGCAGUUAGAAAGCUCGUAGUUGAAUUUCGGGGUUAGUAGGUUGGUCAUGCCUCUGGUAUGUACUGGUCUCACUGAUUCCUCCUUCCUGAUGAACCUUAAUGCCAUUAAUUUGGUGUUUUGGGGAAUUUGGACUGUUACUUUGAAAAAAUUAGAGUGUUUAAAGCAAGCUAACGCUUGAAUACAUUAGCAUGGAAUAAUGAAAUAGGACGUUCGAUCCUAUUUUGUUGGUUUCUAGGAUUGACGUAAUGAUUAAUAGGGAUAGUUGGGGGCAUUAGUAUUCAAUUGUCAGAGGUGAAAUUCUUGGAUUUAUUGAAGACUAACUACUGCGAAAGCAUUUGCCAAGGAUGUUUUCAUUAAUCAAGAACGAAAGUUAGGGGAUCGAAGACGAUCAGAUACCGUCGUAGUCUUAACCAUAAACUAUGCCGACUAGGGAUCGGAUGAUGUUAAUUUUUUAAUGACUCAUUCGGCGCCUUACG
rnacentral:rRNA from 1 species